rnacentral:rRNA from 1 species
AUUGAACGCUGGCGGCAGGCCUAACACAUGCAAGUCGAGCGGUAGAGAGGUGCUUGCACCUCUUGAGAGCGGCGGACGGGUGAGUAAUGCCUAGGAAUCUGCCUGGUAGUGGGGGAUAACGCUCGGAAACGGACGCUAAUACCGCAUACGUCCUACGGGAGAAAGCAGGGGACCUUCGGGCCUUGCGCUAUCAGAUGAGCCUAGGUCGGAUUAGCUAGUUGGUGAGGUAAUGGCUCACCAAGGCGACGAUCCGUAACUGGUCUGAGAGGAUGAUCAGUCACACUGGAACGGAGACACGGUCCAGACUCCUACGGGAGGCAGCAGGGGGGAAUAUUGGACAAUGGGCGAAAGCCUGAUCCAGCCAUGCCGCGUGUGUGAAGAAGGUCUUCGGAUUGUAAAGCACUUUAAGUUGGGAGGAAGGGUCGUUACCUAAUACGUGACGAUUUUGACGUUACCGACAGAAUAAGCACCGGCUAACUCUGUGCCAGCAGCCGCCGUAAUAC